GGAUUAAUCGUGAUAGACAGUCUUGAUUCGCAUACGUAAUCAGCCUAAACAGGCAACGAUUGGACAGUUCUCCUCGCUCUACGUCGACUCAAACGGACAGCUUGAAUCGAAUGAAGAGGAAUAUUUAAACUCCUCUUCGCAGGGAACCAAAAUCUUAGUCGAUAGAGGAGUGACCGAAGAAAAAGAAGAAGGCGGGCCGAGGAAAGAACCAGAUGCCAUAAAAUG
rnacentral:lncRNA from 1 species